UGGAGCCUCUCAGAUGUGCGGUGGGCCAUUGCCUUUCCCUGCUCUGAAGUUCUUUUGUUAGAGCUCUGUGGCUUCUGUGCCGAGUUCGUUUGCUCCGUGCAAUCCGGCGCCAUCGCGUUUUGGGCGAGCGCUGUAUAAUGGAUAGUAGAGAGGCGGGAAUCGACCCGACGCCGAGCUGGCUUUGGCGAUGGUGGUGCGCGCUCCGGAGGACCGAUUGGAGAACGACACCAGGAGACAGCUCACUGAUUCGGAGGUGACGCAAGAGCUUCUGGUGUGACUUGGCUCAAUGCAUGUGAUGCCACAGGAGCUUGACCAAGGAUGUCCCGGAAUCUUAAUUUAGCGAAUCUUUUUCUGAAGACGUUUUGCCUCGAUGAGGGAGUUAGUUCAUGAAAGAAGGGAUCGUGUUAAGGGUGGUAUCUGGAAGAGAUGUGUGGCGUUGGAAGGUGAUAUGAAAUACACAGGAAAGGGCCUGUUCAGAAAGAGGUGUUUCUCCUCCUGCUCUAAGAAAAUGCUCUUCACACAAGCCUGAUGGCCUGAACUAAUUCCUGGAGCCCACGUGGUGGAAGAGAGCGGACUCCUGAAAGUUAUCUUCAGAUCACAUAUACACAAUAAGAAAAUAAAUGUAAAUUUUAAAAAUCAAAAUAGUAAUCAAAACAUUAGAAUGCUGUUUUACUGAAAUGUAGACGUGAUGCAAGUGAUUAUGGAACAUCUGGAUGCUUUGUAUAGUUUUGUACAAAACUUUACUCUUUUCCGAAAUGAGAAAAGGAUUAAAAUUGUCAAAGGAAUUGAACUCUGUAAAUCUUUUUCUUUUGCAAAGAAAGAGUUAUUUGUAGUGGUAUUUUGCAGUGCCCUCAGAUCAGAUAGAGCUGGAGUUAGAGUGGUGAGCUGCCUGGGGUGGGUGCUGUAAGCUGAACUCUCUGGAAGAGCGAGUACUGAGUCAUCUCUCCCGCCCAACUUUUUGUGGCUAUGAAUGAAAUCUUUUGCAUUCUAGAGAAAAAGCAAGAGUAAGAUGUGCCAUGUUGGAAUAUCAUGACUGCCAAUCAAAAUGAAUUGUUGUCCCGAUAGAGGGCUAGCCCACUAGUUACUAGUCAGAAGUGUCCUUGUUUAAACAUUUCAGAAGUUGUGUCAAAUGAGGGUAGCUGCCCAAUAAAAGCCAGUUUGUUCUUGCAGAUCCGAUUGUGUCGCUGUCUGGUCUGUGCUUCAUUUGUAGUAUACAAUAAACAUUCUUUUAACUGUUC